ensembl:miRNA
AAAAAGGUUAAGAAUGUCACCUUCAGCUACGUUUGUUCAGUGCCUUACUCAGGGAGGCGUUGUUCACAUAGAUUGGUAUAUGAAUGGCACCUUUCUGAGUAGAGUAAUGUGCAACAUGGACAACGUUUGUGGUGGUACUUGUAAU